AGGCCAGUGUAAUGCCUGAGUACUAACAGGCACAUGCACACAGGGAGUGGCUGUAGCUGAUGAUAAAUCCUGCCAGGUCCUAAGGGCAGGCCUGUGAAGAUGCCUGAACAUUAACAGAGGUGACCCAGACUCAGAAAAAUGUCACCUGUUCUUCCUUAUAUGGCAGACUCCAGCAUAUAACUUCACAUGUAUCAUUGGAAAUGGGUGUAUGCAGCCCAGGUUAGUCUUGAACACUCGACCUCCUAGCUCUGGGUGUAGAGGCAUGAAUCACCACACGAAGGUUGGAGAUGUUUCCAAGCUGAGAUGUUACCUUCUUUCCAGGAGAUGAGCCCAACUCUCAAGCUUCAAGUGUUUCAAUGAGUCUUAAGUGGCCAGGCAUUUGAAAGCUGAUCCAGUGAUGAUACUACGGCCAUCUGAAAAGCAGGCAUGAAUCACCGGCUCUUAUCUGAGGCUCUUAUCUGAAGCUUCGGGAAAGCAGAACCCGGAAGUAGGAAGCACUCCUGACAAUUAUUUUCCACCGAGGUUUGCCUGCCUGGUUCCUUUUCUUAUUCUCUGCCAAGAGUGACCCCAGAACAAUGGAACCCAUUCAGCCGGUCUACCACCCGUGCUACUAGGCUUCCUGAAUAAAUAAGCAAUGAAGAGCUAGUCACCCUACUCCCUUUGUUUUAAUCAUAACGAGGCUUUCCACAAGACUCUCAGGACGCUCCUCGAUUUGAUUAUGAUGCAGUGACAUUCAAGCGGCUCCUACUUUACAUGCGGCGCUGAGGGAAGUGCUUGUCUGAUCUGACUCUUCACGAGACAAAGCAGACACUUAUCAGUUACGACUGCCUGCCGCGGAAUGGCCGGCGGGAUCCUAGAGAGCCUAGGCUAAUGGUGCCUCUGCUGACCAGCGCAUCGGGUGUCCCUUGCAGAGAUGAACCCCUGAAACCUGAGUGAAACUGUAACCUGCUCUCCACGAAGAGGACUGUGAUGUCAACAAUUUGUCCCUCGCGUUUGUGUGGUGAUAAACUCCACGAGGAGAGACGUGUGCUACCGGGAAAUCAGGACACCGAGUUUUCUGGGUUCUUCUAGACUUCUUUAUUGUUUGAAAAUUUCAGGCAUGAACAUAAUGUGUUUUGAACAAAGCCACUUCCUAUACUCUCCCCUCUAAUUUCCCCGGUCUCUCCUCCACCACUUUUUACU